rnacentral:rRNA from 1 species
GACAGAGGUGCCGAGCGUUAGGCGGAAUCACUGGGCUUAAAGCGUGUGUAGGCGGCCCGUUAAGUGUCCGAGUGAAAUCCCCGGGCUCAACCUGGGAAUGGCAUUUGGGACUGCAAGGCUGGAGUGCGGCAGAGGAGACUGGAAUUCCUGGUGUAGCAGUGAAAUGCGUAGAUAUCAGGAGGAACACCGAUGGCGAAGGCAGGUCUCUGGGCUGACACUGACGCUCAUGCACGAAAGCGUGGGGAGCAAACAGG